rnacentral:rRNA from 1 species
ACUCCUACGGGAGGCAGCAGUGGGGAAUAUUGCACAAUGGGGGAAACCCUGAUGCAGCGACACCGCGUGAAUGAUGAAGGUUUUCGGAUCGUAAAGUUCUGUUAAGUGGGAAGAAAGGCUUUGUGUAAAUAAUGCAAAGAGAUGACGGUACCACUAGAGAAAGCUCCGGCUAACUUCGUGCCAGCAGCCGCGGUAAUACGAGGGGAGCAAGCGUUAUUCGGAAUUACGUGGGACGUAAAGGGCGUGUAGGCGGCAACUUAAGUCGUGUAGUUAAACGACCGGUGCAUACCGACCGGAGCGGCAUGCGAAACUGGGUUGCUAGAGUGUAAGAGAGAGGAGUGGAAUUCUUGGAGUAGCGGUAGAAUGCGUAGAUCUCAAAGAGGAACACCGGAUGGCGAAGGCAGCUCCGUUGGCUUACAACUGACGCUGAGACGCGAAAGCGUGGGAGCAAACAGGAUUAGAUACCCCGUGGUAGCGACUGA